GGCCUAAUGGUCUAGUAGUAUGAUUCCUGCUUUGGGUUGCUUCAAACACAUCGAUUGCAGGAGGUCCUGGGUUCAACUCCCAGUUGGGCCC